rnacentral:tRNA from 1 species
AUGGUGAAACUGGUAGACACGCCAGACUCAAAAUCUGGUGGCCGCAAGGCCGUGUCGGUUCGAAUCCGACUCCCGGCACCA